CAAUUUAUGCCCUAAAUUAAACACAACUCACACACACAGAAGGAAAGAAAAGGGGAGAAACGAGAAACAGGGAGCUCGAGGGGGAAAUGGAGAAGAAAAGGAAAGUGAAGCAAGGGAGGGGAUGGCGCCGGGAAGGGUUCCACCGUUGUCGUUGUCAUCGUCAGGUGAAGGUAGAGGGGUGAUCGAGAGAGAGUCGGAUGUGAGGAAGAGAACGACAUGCGUGAGAGGGAGACAGAGUCUGCGACGGAGCUGUCCCGCCGCCAACGCCUCGUCACCGUCGUGCUUCAAGGUCACCGCUCCCGUUUGAGCCGCCAUCAGUUCUGUGUCGCUGAGGGAAGCCCGAGAUGGAGAUGAGGGAGACGCGAGCCAAGGAUCGCGACGAGGAGUAGAAGAAGCCGUCACCUUCACUGGAGCCACGAUCGCUAUCGAUGUUCUGCCUUCCCCUGAGCCGCCAAUACCACCAUAUUCUUCCAAUCCGCCACACUCACCGCCAGCGAAGCUUUUGUUGCCGUCACCGCAGAAAGGGGGUUGCUGCUGCUGUCAUGGCCAUCUUCAUUGCCGCUGCAACUUCAUUCAAUCCUCAACUGUUGGAACUCGCCGCUGGUACCAAUCGAGACGUCUGCUACUAAUGGUUCACUGCGAUACAAAACAGCGAUGGAGAAAGGGACAGAACACGCCAGAGGAGGUUGCUGGAGCCGUUGGUCUGAACUGCCCUGCCUUUCCCUGCUCCGGUGCCGCAGCUACUGCUGGAAAGUGAUCGGAAAUGUUGCUGCUGUUGCCAUGGAUUAAGAAAAAGGGGUUCGUCGCAAUUAAUUCCUGCUAGUUUGACACUCUGAGAAAAUGGGAUAGAUAAGAGAAUUGUUUGUGUGACUUCUGGUGGCACCACUGCUCCAUUGGAGCAGCGGUGCGUUCGCUAUGUUGACAACUUUAGUUCAGGUCAUAGGGGAGCCACAUUCACUGAGUAUUUUCUGAAGGCGCGAUAUGCUGUGAUCUUCUUGUAUCGGAGGUGAAUUUUUCUGUGUAUCCUUCUUUUAUGUUUUUUUGUGUGUUGUUGCUUACUACCUGUAACUCUUGUUCAGAGGAAGUUUUCAGCCAUUCUGUAGAUCCCUGAUGAUCCCUUACUUGAUUGCUUUGAGGCCACCGAAGGAUUAAACAUUCAAGUCCGUGAGGCUUAUUCUAAAGCAGUGAAGACCGCUAUCGUGGAUCAUCAUGCUGCAGUGGAUAGUGGUCUCCGGUUAAAGCUUCCUUUCAGCACUAUAUUUGAGUAUCUUCAGAUGCUGCAAAUAAUUUCAAAGCCAAUGAAGGAUAUUGGCCCAAGUGUAAUGUUCUAUCUUAUCUGACUUUUAUGUUCUUUGGAAGGACAUGAUAUAAAAUUGAUAUGUUGGUUCUUCUUUCCAUGAAAGUUUCAUCCCUUAUUAACUUCAAUUUUAGCUUGAAUGAUUAUGUAAUAUGUUAAGAUACAAGAAUAUUAACCAUGUCAAUUUCAACAUCUAUGCUAGAGUUAGUUAUUAUAUAGAGAAUUAGCAUACAGAUAACACUUCCUGCUUAGAUUGUGAAAACUGAAAAGUAUAAGCAGAAAGACAUUUAUUGUAUUUUGAAAAA